rnacentral:rRNA from 1 species
UUCAGUGACAAGAGUUCAACGGCCGCGGUAUCCUGACCGUGCAAAGGUAGCAUAAUCACUUGUUCCUUAAUUGGGGACUAGAAUGAAUGGCUUCACGAGGAUUCAACUGUCUCUCACCUCUAAUCAGUGAAGUUGACCUCCCUGUGAAGAGGCGGGGAUAAGACAAUAAGACGAGAAGACCCUAUGGAGCUUUAAUUUCCUAGCUUAGCUACACAAUUACUACCCCUAAUGGACUAAAACAAAAGAAAUAAGCUAGUAAUUUCGGUUGGGGUGACCUCGGAGAAUAAAACAACCUCCGAAUGAUCUUGACUAAGACUUACAAGUCAAAGUACUAAAAUCCAAUUGACCCAAUUUACUUGAUCAACGGACCAAGUUACCCUAGGGAUAACAGCGCAAUCCUAUUCAAGAGUCCAUAUCGACAAUUAGGGUUUACGACCUCGAUGUUGGAUCAGGACAUCCCAAUGGUGCAGCAGC